rnacentral:rRNA from 1 species
AAUUGGAGGGCAAGUCUGGUGCCAGCAGCCGCGGUAAUUCCAGCUCCAAUAGCGUAUAUUAAAGUUGUUGCAGUUAAAAAGCUCGUAGUUGAAUUUCGGGAUUGGCGCAUCGGUCGUGCCUUACGGGGUAUGAACUGGUGCAGUCAAUUUCUCACCUUCUGGAGAACCGCGAUGUCCUUAAUUGGGUGCCGCGGGGAACCAGGACCUUUACUUUGAAAAAAUUAGAGUGUUUAAAGCAGGCAUUUUUGCUUGAAUACAUUAGCAUGGAAUAAUAAAAUAGGACGGCAUGGUUCUAUUUUGUUGGUUUCUAGGACCACCGUAAUGAUUAAUAGGGAUAGUUGGGGGCAUUAGUAUUCAAUUGUCAGAGGUGAAAUUCUUGGAUUUAUUGAAGACUAACUACUGCGAAAGCAUUUGCCAAGGAUGUUUUCAUUAAUCAAGAACGAAAGUUAGGGGAUCGAAGACGAUCAGAUACCGUCGUAGUCUUAACCAUAAACUAUGCCGACUAGGAAUCAGACGAUGUUAAUUUUUUAAUGACUCGUUUGGCACCUUACGGGAAACCAAAGUGU